rnacentral:rRNA from 1 species
AGAGUUUGAUUCUGGCUCAGAACGAACGCUGGCGGCGUGGAUAAGACAUGCAAGUCGAACGAUUACUAUCGGGUAGCAAUAUUCGGUGGUGAGAGUGGCGCAAGGGUGCGUAACACGUGGGUAAUUUGCCGUGAAGUCUGGAAUAACUUGCUGAAAGGCGAGCUAAUACCGGAUGUGAUUGCUGGGGGGCAUCCUCUGGCACUUAAAGUCGGGGACCCUAAGACGGGUAGCUGGUCUGAGAGGACGACCAGCCACACUGGAACUGAGACACGGUCCAGACACCUACGGGUGGCAGCAGUCGAGAAUUUUUCUCAAUGGGGGAAACCCUGAAGGAGCGACGCCGCGUGGGGGAUGAAUGGCUUCGGCCCGUAAACCCCUGUCAUUUGCGAUCAAACCUUACGACCUAACACGUCGUAAGCUGAUAGUAGCGGAAGAGGAAGGGACGGCUAACUCUGUGCCAGCAGCCGCGGUAAUACAGAGGUCCCAAGCGUUGUUCGGAUUCACUGGGCGUAAAGGGUGCGUAGGCGGUCGGGUAAGUCUGACGUGAAAUCUUCAAGCUCAACUUGGAAACUGCGUCGGAUACUAUUCGGCUAGAGGAAUGGAGGGGAGACUGGAAUACUUGGUGUAGCAGUGAAAUGCGUAGAUAUCAAGUGGAACACCAGUGGCGAAGGCGAGUCUCUGGACAUUUCCUGACGCUGAGGCACGAAAGCCAGGGGAGCAAACGGGAUUAGAUACCCCGGUAGUCCUGGCCCUAAACGGUGCACGUUUGCUGUAAGAGGAAUCGACCCCUUUUGUGGCGAAGCUAACGCGUUAAACGUGCCGCCUGGGAAGUACGGCCGCAAGGUUAAAACUCAAAGAAAUUGACGGGGGCCUGCACAAGCGGUGGAGUAUGUGGCUUAAUUCGAUGCAACGCGAAGAACCUUACCUGGCCUUGACAUGCAAGUGGUAGAAGCCUGAAAGGGUGACGACCCCGCAAGGGGAGCUUGCACAGGUGCUGCAUGGCUGUCGUCAGCUCGUGUCGUGAGAUGUUGGGUUAAGUCCCGCAACGAGCGCAACCCCUGCGUCCUGUUGCCACCCGGUCGAGAGACUGGAGCACUCUGGACGGACUGCCUCGCUUCAACGAGGAGGAAGGUGGGGAUGACGUCAAGUCAGGAUGGCCCUUACGGCCAGGGCUGCACACGUACUACAAUGCCCGGCACAGAGGGAAGCAAAACCGCAAGGUGGAGCAAAUCCGAAAAACCGGGCUCAGUUCAGAUUGUCGUCUGCAACUCGACGGCAUGAAGCUGGAAUCGCUAGUAAUGGCGCAUCAGCUACGGCGCCGUGAAUACGUUCCCAGGCCU